rnacentral:rRNA from 1 species
GAUGAACGCUGGCGGCGUGCCUAAUACAUGCAAGUCGAGCGAACAGAUGAGGAGCUUGCUCCUCUGACGUUAGCGGCGGACGGGUGAGUAACACGUGGAUAACCUACCUAUAAGACUGGGAUAACUUCGGGAAACCGGAGCUAAUACCGGAUAAUAUAUUGAACCGCAUGGUUCAAUAGUGAAAGACGGUUUUGCUGUCACUUAUAGAUGGAUCCGCGCCGCAUUAGCUAGUUGGUAAGGUAACGGCUUACCAAGGCAACGAUGCGUAGCCGACCUGAGAGGGUGAUAGGCCACACUGGAACUGAGACACGGUCAAGACUCCUACGGGAGGCAGCAGUAGGGAAUCGUACGCAAUGGGCGAAAGCCUGACGGAGCAACGCCGCGUGAGUGAUGAAGGUCUUCGGAUCGUAAAACUCUGUUAUUAGGGAAGAACAAAUGUGUAAGUAAAUAUGCACGUAUUGACGGUACCUAAUCAGAAAGCAACGGCUAACUACGUG